rnacentral:rRNA from 1 species
UGCAAUUCGAACGGGCUUCUUCGGAAGUCAGUGGCAGACCGGUGAGUAACACGUGGGAACGUGCCCUUCGGUUCGGAAUAACUCAGGGAAACUUGAGCUAAUACCGGAUACGCCCUUAUGGGGAAAGGUUUACUGCCGAAGGAUCGGCCCGCGUCUGAUUAGCUUGUUGGUGGGGUAACGGCCUACCAAGGCGACGAUCAGUAGCUGUCUGAGAGGAUGAUCAGCCACACUGGGACUGAGACACGGCCCAGACUCCUACGGGAAGGCAGCAGUGGGGGAUUAUUGGACAAUGGGCGCAAGCCUGAUCCAGCCAUGCCGCGUGAGUGAUGAAGGCCUUAGGGUUGUAAAGCUCUUUUGUCCGGGACGAUAAUGACGGUACCGGAAGAAUAAGCCCCGGCUAACUUCGUGCCAGCAGCCGCGGUAAUACGAAGGGGGCUAGCGUUGCUCGGAAUCACUGGGCGUAAGGGCGCGUAGGCGGCCGAUUAAGUCGGGGGUGAAAGCCUGUGGCUCAACCACAGAAUUGCCUUCGAUACUGGUUGGCUUGAGACCGGAAGAGGACAGCGGAACUGCGAGUGUAGGGGUGAAAUUCGUAGAUAAUCGCAAGAACACCAGUGGCGAAGGCGGCUGUCUGGUCCGNUUCUGACGCUGNNGCGCG